rnacentral:miRNA from 1 species
GGCGGGUGUGGCGGUGG